GGAGAGUUGAAGGUCUGAGUCCAGAAGACUGAAGAAACUGUUGAUAGGAAUGAUGGGCCCAGCUUUGUUAAUGAGACUUAAUUAUAGGGUAAUCUCUCAGAAAGUGGAGUGCAAAAAUUUAACUUUGAAGAGAGAGAAAGAGAGAAAGAAAGAGAGAAAACAAGGAACAGAGAGACAGGGACAGAGACAGAACUGAAGAAAAAAAGAAAAAUGGAGAUGGGGGAAAAAAGAGAACAAGCUUUACUUUGGGGAGAAAGUUAUAUUUUACUGGAGAAUAAACAAAUACAUGACCAGAUAUAUAAACACAAAAAUGGAAGAAGAUUAUGACAUUUUAUUUUGUAAUCGGAUAGAUGUGAGAAAGUACACCACAGUUAUUUUUUCAAGGCAAUCCCAAUAAAUUUUGGAUAGAAAUAGCACCUGCAUCCAAAAAACA